UACGGGGGGGGCAAGCGUUGUUCGGAAUUACUGGGCGUAAAGGGCUCGUAGGUGGCCAACUAAGUCGGACGUGAAAUCCCUCGGCUUAACCGGGGAACUGCGUCUGAUACUGGAUGGCUUGAGUUCGGGAGAGGGAUGCGGAAUUCCUGGUGUAGCGGUGAAAUGCGCAGAUAUCAGGAGGAACACCAAUGGCGAAGGCAGCUCACUGGGACGGUAUUGACGCUGAGACGCGAAAGCGUGGGGAGCAAACAGG
rnacentral:rRNA from 1 species